rfam:Brachypodium distachyon strain Bd21 chromosome 1, whole genome shotgun sequence.
CUGCUACUCCGUCCGUUCCAUAAUUCUUGUCAAAAUGUUAUAUGUAUCUAGACGCUUUUUAGGAAUAGAUACAUCCAUAUUUGGGCAAAUUUGAGACAAGAAUUAUGGGACGGAGGGAGUAGUUC